AAAACCCGUCUAUGUCAAAACGUCAGAAUUUUCGUUCAUCGGUUCAUUCAACUUGAUCGUUAGAUCAAGUCAGUUAUGGGCUCAUGGCGGUUUGCUGUCAAAAGUUAAGCUUUUUUUUCUUCGAAAAUUCCCUAUUCGAGUGAUUUCGUCUGUAAAUUGUCGGGUGAUGUGUUCUAUUCGGUGUAUAUGUUGGAUAAACUUAAUGUUUCUCAUCAACUUAGAGGAGAAAACGUGUUGAAAGGGUUGUGUAGCUUACUGCUGUCAACCAUUUUGUUCAAAAUCAUUGUAUUCUACUGAAUGUGCCAUCAAAAUGAAACAGGUUCUUCAUUACAGGAUUCUAACACCUUGGCAUGACAGGAUUGACAGAUUUGAUGAGAAGGAGGCAUUCACAUAGUACAGGUUUCUAAAUUGGCAUGUCGUUUGAAGAAAAAGGACAAGGACUAUACAGUCAACAAGAUUCCUUGUUUGCUAACCCAAUGGCUGCUACCCUUGAAUCUCCCUGUUAACUUCCUUACAUGGGUUCUUUUGAUUUGAGGGUAACUCUUUCGCUACGGAUCACAUCAACUGUUGUAAACUGACGAGAGAAUGCUGCAAUUCAAGACUGAUACAUUGUGUAGUUAUUAGAUAAAUGACAAGUGCAUAUCUGGGCUCCCUUCUUUUCUGUGGCCCCGUUUCCCUAACUAACCACUAACCAACGCCCGCCGGUGGUCACUCACCCGCUGUGAAACCAGGAGGAGGGGAGGGCUCUGGUCGAACGGGGACUUGGAAGGCACAUGAUCCGAUGAAAACUUUUGGAGGGUCAUGAGUCUAACCCCGGAUUCCUAGUAUGAGUACAUCUCCCCGGAAAAACUUGCCUCGUACUUCUCUCUUCUUCUCGGUCCAGAUACUAUCUCUGGGGGCCGUAGACAAAACCUAUAACAGCAUGUGCGAGUUAAAACAAUGCAUCCACUACCCAAUGAAACAAAUAGCCAUGGUUUAUAUUUUGUGGAAAUCUCCGUCAGU